GUGAAUCAUCGAAUUUUUGAACGCAAAUUGCACUCCCCUCGUAUAGUAUGCCUGUUUGAGUUUCAGCCUAUAAAAAUCGACAUCGUUGCUGUGUCGCGGUGGCGUUCGUCGGAAAUUGGGUCAUCUUAAAUCCUUUUGAUUUAAGCGAUUUAAUAUUUUCUUUUGCUUCCAUGAACGUUUCUAAUAUGU
rnacentral:misc_RNA from 1 species